rnacentral:tRNA from 1 species
GGAUUGUGGCUCAGCGGUAGAGUGCUUGCCUAGCAUGUGCGAGGCCCUGGGUUCUAUCCUCAGCACCG